rnacentral:rRNA from 1 species
UUCCGGUUGAUCCUGCCGGAGGCCAUUGCUAUUGGAGUCCGAUUUAGCCAUGCUAGUUGCACGAGUUUAGACUCGUAGCAGAUAGCUCAGUAACACGUGGCCAAACUACCCUCUGGAGCACGAUAACCUCGGGAAACUGAGGCUAAUAGUGCAUACGGCUCGAUGCCUGGAACUGGCUCGAGCUCGAAACGCUCCGGCGCCAGAGGAUGUGGCUGCGGCCGAUUAGGUAGACGGUGGGGUAACGGCCCACCGUGCCAAUAAUCGGUACGGGUUGUGAGAGCAAGAGCCCGGAGACGGUAUCUGAGACAAGAUACCGGGCCCUACGGGGCGCAGCAGGCGCGAAACCUUUACACUGCACGACAGUGCGAUAAGGGGACUCCAAGUGCGAGGGCAUAACGUCCUCGCUUUUCGUGACCGUAAGGUGGUCACAGAAUAAGGGCUGGGCAAGACCGGUGCCAGCCGCCGCGGUAAUACCGGCAGCCCAAGUGAUGGCCGCUCUUAUUGGGCCUAAAGCGUCCGUAGCUGGCCAUGCAAGUCCAUCGGGAAAUCUGCCCGCCUAACGGGCAGGCGUCCGGUGGAAACUGCAUGGCUUGGGACCGGAAGAUCCAGAGGGUACGUCCGGGGUAGGAGUGAAAUCCUGUAAUCCUGGACGGACCACCGGUGGCGAAAGCGCUCUGGAAAGACGGAUCCGACGGUGAGGGACGAAAGCUCGGGUCACGAACCGGAUUAGAUACCCGGGUAGUCCGAGCUGUAAACGAUGUCUGCUAGGUGUGGCACAGGCUACGAGCCUGUGCUGUGCCGUAGGGAAGCCGUGAAGCAGACCGCCUGGGAAGUACGUCCGCAAGGAUGAAACUUAAAGGAAUUGGCGGGGGAGCACUACAACCGGAGGAGCCUGCGGUUUAAUUGGAUUCAACGCCGGG